AGGCCAUAGUGAGGGUAUUCUUGGAGUAGAUCCUUGAAACUCUCCAAAAGUUUGGAAAAGGGCUCACUAGGCUUUUGCCUAAACUAAAGGAUAACACUUCUAAGCUU